rnacentral:rRNA from 1 species
GACGAACGCUGGCGGCGUGCUUAACACAUGCAAGUCGAGCGGUAAGGCCCUUUCGGGGGUACGACGAGCGGCGAACGGGUGAGUAACACGUGGGUGACCUGCCCUCAGCUCUGGGAGUAAGCCUGGGAAACUGGGUCUAAUACUGGAUAUGACUCCACGGUGCAUGUCGUGGGGUGGAAAGCCUUGUGCGGCUGAGGAUGGGCCCGCGGCCUAUCAGCUUGUUGGUGGGGUGAGGCCUACCAAGGCGACGACGGGUAGCCGGCCUGAGAGGGCGACCGGCCACACUGGGACUGAGAUACGGCCCAGACUCCUACGGGAGGCAGCAGUGGGGAAUCUUGCGCAAUGGGCGAAAGCCUGACGCA